rnacentral:snoRNA from 1 species
UACACAUGACUAUUCAAACGGCAGUAUUGAUUGAAACACUUAUUGCACUUGGAGCAGAGGUCACAUGGUCUUCGUGUAAUAUUUUUUCAACUCAAGAUCAAGCAGCUGCUG